rnacentral:rRNA from 1 species
CAGCAGCCGCGGUAAUACGUAGGGUGCAAGCGUUAAUCGGAAUUACUGGGCGUAAAGCGUGCGCAGGCGGUUCUAUAAGACAGAUGUGAAAUCCCCGGGCUCAACCUGGGAACUGCAUUUGUGACUGUAGAGCUGGAGUGCGGCAGAGGGGGAUGGAAUUCCGCGUGUAGCAGUGAAAUGCGUAGAUAUGCGGAGGAACACCGAUGGCGAAGGCAAUCCCCUGGGCCUGCACUGACGCUCAUGCACGAAAGCGUGGGGAGCAAACAGGAUUAGAUACCCCCGAAGUCCCUGUCUCUUAUAC